rnacentral:misc_RNA from 1 species
UCUCCCGUGAGGGAGCAGUCUCGCCUGACACUUGUAACAGGCAACGAGGGUUGCGUUCGUUUCCCCACUGAAGGGAACAACUCAAGCCACGAACUGACGACGACCAUGCAUCACCUGUUCAGCUGCCCGAAGGCCCCAAUGGUUUCCCAAAGAGUUCAACUGAAUUUCUAACCCUGGUAAGGUUCUUCGCUUAUCGACGAAUUGAGCCACAUGAUCCACCGCUUGUGCGAGCCCCCGUCUAUUCCUUUGAGUUUUAGCCUUGCGGCCGUACUCCCCAGGCGGUCCCCUUAACGCGUUAGCUUCGCCUCUCAGAGGGUCGAUACUCCGAAAAGCCAGGGGACAUCGUUUAGGGCGUGGACUA